AUACAUACCUGACAGGGGAGUCUUAGCCAGAAUCUCUAGGGUGGCUCUCCCAGGGCGAGGCUGGUUCAUUGUACUCCGAGCCCACUGACCUAUGCGAUUUCCCCACAUGUGGGAAACUCGACGGCACACUUUGUUAGUGGGGGACUGCAUGCUCGCUUUCCCCUG